GCGACAGUAACUCAAUGGUAGAGUGAAAGAUUUCCAAUCUUUAUGUUGAGGGUUCGAGUCCCUUCUGUCGCU
rnacentral:tRNA from 1 species